rnacentral:misc_RNA from 1 species
UUACAAUUUUUUAUAUGAAAUUCAAGUUUAUAAUUUGUAAUUGUUAAAUAAAACUACUUUAGUAAUGAUAGCUUGAUAUUGUGACAUAUUUGUUUGUGGCCUCAAUGUGAGGUGUUAAUUUAAUUUCUGAAGGUAGGCCUGAGAAAGAGGAUAACAGAAAUCCGUGCAUGAAAAAAUAGCUGCAUUGAUACUCUAUAAUGAUUUACUUACUAAUAGAUGUUAAGAAACUGCUUCUUGGAGGGAGAUCUCAUCCAAAAAAGUGUUUUCUGGAGCUCUUGAUUCUUUUUCUUUUGUUUGAUUUGAAGUUGACUGAAUAAUAAUAUUUCAUGCUUUAAGAUGGUAAAUGUGAGAUUGAGGCAGGUGCUGCAAUCUUAUUCCAUUAAAGUUAAGCUGCUAUGUCUACUCAACACUUGGGAAUCUAAAAUUCUAGAUACUUUUAUGUGGAACCUGUUUGGUGCAUCUGAUCUUCAAAGGUUGAUUCUUCAUAGAAAAAGAAUAAAGACCAUAGGUGGGCCUUGCCUGAUAAUUGGUUUGCUUUAUUCUUCUGGUAUCCAUUCAUUACUUAGCUUUUAUGGAUAUGGUCUGUUCCCACCAUAUGUUUUGCAUGGUUUGCUGUUGUUUUUGACCUUUUUCCCACUUUUAGUUAGUUUUUAUUUUAUAAGUUUGUUGUGGGGAAAUUUUUAUCUUAUUAUUUCACAAUGAUUGAUACAAGAU